rnacentral:rRNA from 1 species
CCCGAGAUGAGUUCUCCCUGACUCCUUGAGAGUCCUGAAGGAACGUUGAAGACGACGACGUUGAUAGGUCGGGUGUGUAAGCGCAGCGAUGCGUUGAGCUAACCGAUACUAAUGAACCGUGAGGCUUAACCUUACAACGCCGAAGGUGUUU